rnacentral:rRNA from 1 species
AUUGAACGCUGGCGGCAUGCCUUACACAUGCAAGUCGAACGGCAGCGCGGACUUCGGUCUGGCGGCGAGUGGCGAACGGGUGAGUAAUACAUCGGAACGUACCCUGUUGUGGGGGAUAACUAGUCGAAAGGUUAGCUAAUACCGCAUACGACCUGAGGGUGAAAGUGGGGGACCGCAAGGCCUCACGCAGCAGGAGCGGCCGGUGUCUGAUUAGCUAGUUGGUGGGGUAAAGGCCCACCAAGGCGACGUUCGGUAGCUGGUCUGAGAGGACGAUCAGCCACACGGGGACGGAGACGCGUCCCAGAGUCUUACGAGAGGCAUCAUUGGGGAAUUUUGGGCAAUGGGGUCAACCCUGAUCCAGCAAUGCCGGGUGUGUGACGAAGGCCUUCGGGUUGUAAAGCACUGUUGUCCGUAAAGAAAGCGCGCUGGUUAAUACCUGGCGUGGAUGACGGUACCGGAAGAAUAAGCACCGGCUAACUACGUGCCAGCCGCCGCCGUAA